rnacentral:pre_miRNA from 1 species
UAUGUACUCCCUCCGUCCGGAAAUACUUGUCAUCAAAAUGGAUAAAAGAAGAUGUAUCUAGACAUAUUUUAGUUCUACAUACAUCCCUUUUUAUCCAUUUUGAUGACAAGUAUUUUCGGACGGAGGGAGUACUUA